rnacentral:rRNA from 1 species
UGGGGAAUUUUGGACAAUGGGGGCAACCCUGAUCCAGCCAUCCCGCGUGUGCGAUGAAGGCCUUCGGGUUGUAAAGCACUUUUGGCAGGGAAGAAACAGCCUGGGAUAAUACCCCGGGCGACUGACGGUACCUGCAGAAUAAGCACCGGCUAACUACGUGCCAGCAGCCGCGGUAAUACGUAGGGUGCAAGCGUUAAUCGGAAUUACUGGGCGUAAAGCGUGCGCAGGCGGUUCGGAAAGAAAGGUGUGAAAUCCCAGGGCUUAACCUUGGAACUGCACUUUUGAACUACCGAGCUAGAGUACGUCAGAGGGGGGUAGAAUUCCACGUGUAGCAGUGAAAUGCGUAGAGAUGUGGAGGAAUACCGAUGGCGAAGGCAGCCCCCCUGGGAUGAUACUGACGCUCAUGCACGAAAGCGUGGGGAGCAAACAGGAUUAGAUACCCUGGUAGUCCACGCCCUAAACGAUGUCAACUAGCUGUU